CUCACCUGCCCUGGCCUUCAGGGGUCUUUCAGUUCCCAGCUUUGAUCCUUAACAAAGUCUGUGUGGGUCUCUGUCAGUUCUGUUUCCGUGAGGAUCUUCCGUGGCUUUCUUGUCCACGAGCUCGUGGCCCCGGCAUGUCCGCUCAGUCUUUCGUGCACUCCUGCGUCCAUCCAUCCGCUCACUCAUUAUCACGUUAAUCGCUGACCAGCCAGAAGCUCCCACCGAUGACCUCACCCCGCUGCUCUAGCGUAUCCCGGAUGUGGCCUUGGGGGAGUGCCGGGGGGGAGGUGUCCCAUCCCGAGGCCCAGCGCUGUGCCAUAUCACAGCCUCCAUGUUUUUCACAGAGCAACCCAAGCCCACCUCAGGAUCCCACAGGGCACCGACAGUGACCCCCCCCCAGCAAACACCUGGCCCUCUGCGGGCGUCUUCAGCCGGGUGCCUGUACCAGCACAGGGCUCUCUGGACCCUGGAGACCUAAAGGCAACAGCAGACACAGGAGCACAUGGGACAGAGCGUGGCCUUCGCCUCAGGAAGGGCUGUGAGGAAGCCACUCCAGACCAGAGGGGCUGGCCUGGCUCUCUCAGGCCUACCAUCGCCGUGGGCUCAGAAGUGGCAAGAGCCAGGCCCAGACUGGGUAUCCAGGCCCCAACUUCAUUAGGUACACAGCUGUAA
rnacentral:lncRNA from 1 species